UACGUAGGGCGCAAGCGUUUGUCCGGAAUUAUUGGGCGUAAAGAGCUCGUAGGCGGCUUGUCACGUCGGGUGUGAAAGCCCGGGGCUUAACCCCGGGUCUGCAUUCGAUACGGGCUAGCUAGAGUGUGGUAGGGGAGAUCGGAAUUCCUGGUGUAGCGGUGAAAUGCGCAGAUAUCAGGAGGAACACCGGUGGCGAAGGCGGAUCUCUGGGCCAUUACUGGCGCUGAGGAGCGAAAGCGUGGGGAGCGAACAGG
rnacentral:rRNA from 1 species